AUUGAACGCUGGCGGCAUGCCUUACACAUGCAAGUCGAACGGCAGCGCGGACUUCGGUCUGGCGGCGAGUGGCGAACGGGUGAGUAAUACAUCGGAACGUACCCUGUUGUGGGGGAUAACUAGUCGAAAGAUUAGCUAAUACCGCAUACGACCUGAGGGUGAAAGUGGGGGACCGCAAGGCCUCACGCAGCAGGAGCGGCCGAUGUCUGAUUAGCUAGUUGGUGGGGUAAAGGCCCACCAAGGCGACGAUCAGUAGCUAGUCUGAGAGGACGAUCAGCCACCCUGGGACUGAGACACGGCCCAGACUCCUACGGGAGGCAGCAGUGGGGAAUUUUGGACAAUGGGGGCAACCCUGAUCCAGCAAUGCCGCGUGUGUGAAGAAGGCCUUCGGGUUGUAAAGCACUUUUGUCCGGAAAGAAAUCGCGCUGGUUAAUACCUGGCGUGGAUGACGGUACCGGAAGAAUAAGCACCGGCUAACUACGUG
rnacentral:rRNA from 1 species